rnacentral:rRNA from 1 species
UACAGAGGGGGCAAGCGUUGUUCGGAAUUACUGGGCGUAAAGGGCGCGUAGGCGGCCUGCUAAGUCGAACGUGAAAUCCCCGGGCUUAACCCGGGAACUGCGUCCGAUACUGGUGGGCUUGAAUCCGGGAGAGGGAUGUGGAAUUCCAGGUGUAGCGGUGAAAUGCGUAGAUAUCUGGAGGAACACCGGUGGCGAAGGCGGCAUCCUGGACCGGUAUUGACGCUGAGGCGCGAAAGCUAGGGGAGCAAACGGG